AACGAACGUUGGCGGCACGCUUAAUACAUGCAAGUCGAACGAGAAACUUGGUUCGCCAAGUGGAAAGUGGCAGACGGUUGAGUAACGCGUGGGAAUCUACCUAGAGGUUCGGAAUAACUAUUGGAAACGAUAGCUAAUACCGGAUAAGCCCUUCGGGGGAAAGAUUUAUUGCCUUUAGAUGAGCCCGCGUCGGAUUAGCUAGUUGGUAAGGUAACGGCUUACCAAAGCUACGAUCCGUAGCUGAUCUGAGAGGAUGAUCAGCCAGAUUGGGACUGAGACACGGCCCAGACUCCUACGGGAGGCAGCAGUAGGGAAUAUUGCGCAAUGGGGGAAACCCUGACGCAGCGAUGCCGCGUGAGUGAAGAAGGCCUUAGGGUUGUAAAACUCUUUCAGUGGUGAAGAUA
rnacentral:rRNA from 1 species